rnacentral:lncRNA from 1 species
GUUUUAAUUGACUCAUUGUUCAUCAUGGCUAGGGAGGCCUCAGGAAACUUAGAAUCAUGGCAGAAGGGGAAGUAAACAGAUACUUCUUCACAUGGCAGCAGGAAGGGGAAGAAUGAGUGCCCAGUGAAGGGGGAAGCCCCUUAUAAAACCAUCAGAUCUCUUGAGAACUAAUUCACUAUCAGAAGAACAGGAUGAGGGAAACUGCCCCCAUGAUUGAAUUAUCUCCGCCUGGUCCCUCCCAUGACACAUGGGGAUUAUGGGAACUACACUUCAAGAUGAGAUUUGGAUGGUCACACAGCCAAACCAUAUCACAUGUCUACUUUGGAUAUCUUGUUUAUUCCAAAAAGAAACCCUCUGUCUGAGACACACUCCCUGCCCCCCUAUAAGAAGAGCCCAAGACUGAUUCUGACCCAAACUCAAGGGUUUGAGUGGAACCAGAACAUCCUAGGGAGUGCUGCCAGAUGAACAAUGACAUUUUAGGGACUGUUGAGCUUUCCUUUUGAAUGUGCCCUCUCUGUGUCUCCUAGACACUUCUUAAGGCCCCACCUUGUUUCUUAGGCUCCCCUAGAGCUUUCAAAUGCCCUAAAGAGGCUGACCCUAGGAACUUAAGUAGAAAAUAUCCUUGAGGUCCGCCUUUCCAAGCUGAUGCAAAAGGAAGUCCAUUUGAAGACUCCCUCCCCUGGGAAAGAACCAAGCAACUAUUAAGCUGUUUCCCAUCCAGACAGUAGGAAAGGGUUAACUGCUUCUCUCGGGUCCUGAGCAAAGUCUGUCCCAUACCAGUUCCCAUAACCGGGUUUCCUGAAAUGGAGCAGGUCCCAGGUGACUCUCCACUAAUCACAUCCUUGGAAAUGGGGCCAUGAGGCUCAGAUUAGCUCAUCCCUUCACCUUCUUGAGGCCUUCUCCACCUGGAGCACAGAAUCUGGGGCAGCUUCACCACUCACCUCCCUCUGCUUUCUUAUCAGGGGUCAGACAGGGAUGUUCUAGCAGAGGAAUAUUAUUGGGCUAAUGGGGGCAACUAGAGGCCAUAAUGGUGCUGACUUUUGUGCAAUUCUUGGACUACAGCAUCUGUUCUUCCCCUUUCUAAGACUUAGGGGAAAAGAGAGAUUCUUUUCCUGGGACAGUACCAAAGUUUAUAUAACUCGAGUAUUUCGUUCUUCACCCCCAUUCCCUGUUUUCUUCCUCUCCUUGAAUAACUGACUAUGAUACUGACUAACUUCCUGUUCUUCCUGGCCAAGUCACCCUUUGCACAAAGUCUGAUUUCUCAUCCACCAGUAGCAGGUGCUGGGCCAGCCCAGGAGAUUUCAUUCCUUUCCUAUUAUUGUCCAAUUUUUCCUCUGCCUAGAUAGCC